AAUAAUCCAUCCCUCCCAAAAUAAGUGUCAUUUGUCUUAUUUAAUAUUUUUUAUGAUUACUAUUAUUAUUAUUAGAUGAUAAAAUAUGAAUAAUAUUUUAUGUGUGAUUAAUUUUUUAAAAUUUUUUAUAAAUGUUUCAAAUAAAACAAAUGGUCAAACGUUCGACAUGAAUACCCACAACUGCACUUAUU
rnacentral:pre_miRNA from 1 species